GGGGAAAAUUGCACAAUGGGGGAAACCCUGAUGCAGCAACGCCGCGUGAGUGAUGACGGUCUUCGGAGGGGAAAGCUCUGUCUUUAGGGACGAUAAUGACGGUACCUAAGGAGGAAGCCACGGCUAACUACGUGCCAGCAGCCGCGGUAAUACGUAGGUGGCAAGCGUUGUCCGGAUUUACUGGGCGUAAAGGGAGCGUAGGCGGAUUUUUAAGUGGGAUGUGAAAUACUCGGGCUCAACCUGGGGGCUGCAUUCCAAACUGGGGAUCUAGAGUACAGGAGGGGAGAGUGGAAUUCCUAGUGUAGCGGUGAAAUGCGUAGAGAUUAGGAAGAACACCAGUGGCGAAGGCGAUUCUCUGGACUGUAACUGACGCUGAGGCUCGAAAGCGUGGGGAGCAAACAG
rnacentral:rRNA from 1 species